UAAAAAAUUGCUGAAAGGGAGUGUAAUGAACAAAACAAUAAUUAAAAAUGCGAGCUUAUUGACCAAUACUAAAAACAAUUAUGAUUUAUUUGAUGCUUGGCGUCUUCAAAAUCCCGAAUUAAGAGAUUACACCCAUCUAUCUAGAGUACAUUUUACAUAUUCAAGAAUUGAUAUGAUCUGGGGUAAUAUAACUCUAAUAGAUAAUUUGGUAGAAAUAAAUAUAGUGGAAAAUGUAUGGUCAGAUCAUAGUAUGUAUAUAUUCGAAAUAAAAGAUAAGAUGACAGCUAUAAAUAAUACAACGUGGAAACUAAAUAACUAUCGGUUAUAUAACAAAAGUAGUAAGACCAAGUUAGAGAAACUGAUAAUAUGUUUCUUUAAGGAGAAUGAUCCUUCAGACACUUCAUAUCUAAAUACGUGGUGUUCAUUUAAAGCAGUUACAAGAGGUUAUCUUAUAAAGCUAAACCAUGAAGCUAAAAGUAAAGAAAAGAGACUUGGAGAUUUAUACAUUGAACUCUAUAAGCUUACAACAGACAAUAAAGCAUAUCCCACAAUGGAGAAAGGUAGACGAAUAUCAGAAGUGCAAAAAAAUAUUCUACAAUGUUUAAAUACUAAAACAAUAGAAAAUAUUAAAAAACUGAAAUUGAGAUUCUAUUGUAGAGGGAAUAAAACAGAUAAGAUGC